rnacentral:rRNA from 1 species
CCCGAAUAAUUUUAUAAGACAAGAAGACCCUGUCAAGCUUUACUUUAAACCAUUUGCAACCAGAAAUUUUUAACCAUCUGCUUUCCAUUUAGUAAUAGUUUAGUUGGGGCGACUAAGGACCAAACCUAACGUCCUUCCAAUAAUAAAGGAUUAUAAUCCUACAAACCUGAUCCCAUACAGGAUAAAGAGACAAGCUACUGCAGGGAUAACAGGCUAAUUUUUCCUGAGAGUCCAAAUCGAAGGAAAAGUUUGGCACCUCGAUGUUGGCUUAAGAUAACCAUAAAGUGCAGCAGCUUUACAUGGUAGGUUUGUUCACCCUUUAAAAUCUUACAUGAGCUGAGUUCAGACCGGCGUAAGCCAGGUCAGAUUCUAUCUAUAAAAUCAUCAACCUCCCCAUUCAAUUGUACGAAAGGAUCCUGAAUGGCUAUUUCAUAGAAAACAACCAAAAAAUAACUAUAAUUAUAUAUUACACUAACCUU